UAGGGAAUCUUCCACAAUGGACGCAAGUCUGAUGGAGCAACGCCGCGUGAGUGAAGAAGGUUUUCGGACCGUAAAGCUCUGUUGUUGGUGAAGAAGGAUAGAGGUAGUAACUGGCCUUUAUUUGACGGUAAUCAACCAGAAAGUCACGGCUAACUACGUGCCAGCAGCCGCGGUAAUACGUAGGUGGCAAGCGUUGUCCGGAUUUAUUGGGCGUAAAGCGAGCGCAGGCGGAAGAAUAAGUCUGAUGUGAAAGCCCUCGGCUUAACCGAGGAAU
rnacentral:rRNA from 1 species